AACUAUAACGGUCCUAAGGUAGCGAAAUUCCUUGUCAGGUAAGUUCUGACCCGCAUGAAAGGCGUAAUGAUUUGGGCACUGUCUCAACAGCCCGCCCGGCGAAAUUGUAGUACCGGUGAAGAUGCCGGUUACCCGCGACAAGACGGAAAGACCCCAUGGAGCUUUACUGUAGCCUAAUAUUGGGUUUCGAUGUUGCAUGCACAGGAUAGAUGGGACACAGGGAAACAAGUGCUUUGGCAUUUGUGGAGUGGCCGUUGGGAUACCAUCCUUGCGAUAUUGGAAUUCUAACCUGCGCCUUUGAAUCAAGGCGGGGGACAUUGUUAGGUGGGCAGUUUGACUGGGGCGGUCGCCUCCUAAAGAGUAACGGAGGCGUUCAAAGGUUCGCUCAGCUUGAACGGAAAUCAAGCAAAAGAGUGCAAACGCAGAAGCGAGCCUAACUGCGAGACUGACGGGUCGAGCAGUAACGAAAGUUGGAGUUAGUGAUCCGGUGGUAUGUGAGUGGAAAUGCCAUCGCUCAACGGAUAAAAGUUACCCUGGGGAUAACAGGCUGAUCUCCCCCAAGAGUCCACAUCGACGGGGAGGUUUGGCACCUCGAUGUCGGCUCAUCGCAUCCUGGGGCUGAAUUCGGUCCCAAGGGUUUGGCUGUUCGCCAAUUAAAGCGGCACGCGAGCUGGGUUCAGAACGUCGUGAGACAGUUCGGUCCCUAUCUGUUGCGGGCGUAAGAGAUUUGAAGGGAGCUGUCCUUAGUACGAGAGGACCGGGAUGGACGUACCUCUGGUGCACCAGUUGUCCUGCCAAGGGCAUAGCUGGGUAGCUAUGUACGGACGAGAUAAACGCUGAAAGCAUCUAAGCGUGAAACUCCCCCUAAGAUGAGAUCUCUCAUCCUUCAAGGAGUAAGGACCCAGAAAGACGAUCUGGUUGAUAGGCCGAAGGUGGAAGCGCAGUAAUGUGUGCAGCUGAUCGGUACUAAUAGUCCGAGGGCUUGACCUA
rnacentral:rRNA from 1 species